rnacentral:rRNA from 1 species
UUUAUAUCUCUUUAGGUAGUUAAAAACCAAUAUAUAAUGGCGGUUCUUAAAUAUUAAAAAAACUCGCCCCAUAAUCGAAACCACCCGUUAAGUUUAACCAAAACCUUAAAGCCUAUAUACCGCCGCUCAAAGAAUCCUAACUACUAUAAUCUUAUAAAUUCCACUAAAUAAAAAUCAGGUCAAGGUGUAGCCCAUGUCUUGGUGAGUGUAAGCAAAAAUGAUUAAAUCAAUAUAAACUAAGUACAAACCAACUUUAAACAAAUUUAUUUGUAUGGAUAAAAUAAAAUUUUAACUAGAAACAACCCCUAAGAAUGC